rnacentral:rRNA from 1 species
GAUGAACGCUGGCGGCGUGCCUAAUACAUGCAAGUCGAGCGAACAGACGAGGAGCUUGCUCCUCUGACGUUAGCGGCGGACGGGUGAGUAACACGUGGAUAACCUACCUAUAAGACUGGGAUAACUUCGGGAAACCGGAGCUAAUACCGGAUAAUAUAUUGAACCGCAUGGUUCAAUAGUGAAAGACGGUUUUGCUGUCACUUAUAGAUGGAUCCGCGCCGCAUUAGCUAGUUGGUAAGGUAACGGCUUACCAAGGCAACGAUGCGUAGCCGACCGGAGAGGGUGAUCGGCCACACUGGAACGGAGACCCGGUCCAGACUCCUACGGGAGGCAGCAGUAGGGAAUCUUCCGCAAUGGGCGAAAGCCUGACGGAGCAACGCCGCGUGAGUGAUGAAGGUCUUCGGAUCGUAAAACUCUGUUAUUAGGGAAGAACAAAUGUGUAAGUAACUAUGCACGUGUUGACGGUACCUAAUCAGAAAGCCACGGCUAACUACGUGC